AUACUAGCUGUACUAGUUUACAGCAAAUGCAAACUAACACAACAAAUGAUAACAAUCUCAAAAAUCGACACUGUCCAGUGUUUUUAAUAUUCAACAGGUGAUGACUGAUGCUUUUUGAUCAUGUUAGCAGCAGUCCAUCCCUUGGUAUGGUAAUGUAAAUAGUGAGGUAGUUAGCUUGGAUGAACUAAGCUAAACCAAACACCGCCUGCAGCCCACAGGAAACCCCCCAAACACAGCUGAUAUGACACUAUUAUGACAGCUGGUGCAGACACCAGGACAGGCGAGCAGGUAUUUCAGUGUCACCAAACUAAAGCCAGCUAGCGAGCUAACUUUAGCCAACUGCUACCUAGCUUCACCAAAGACCCACUUUGGGUUUCCAAACGGACCAUCAAAACAAGCUAAGGGGUCCUCGGCCUGAAAAACUUUGAAGACCCCUGAUUUACGACAUCAAAAUCACUCCCACUUCAAAGGCAGAUAUUUCAUGUAAUGCUGAGAGCUCAGACAUAUCAGGUGACAUGAAAUAACCUCACUUCCCCGGCCCACGGGAUCAUGUGACAACAGGCCACCAGCAGCCAAAUCCUCUCUGGAUCAAACUACAGCAUCAUGUACAGUUGCAAAGAAGCAAUCGCCUAAGUAUGUUUAUCCCAGGAGGGGAGCACUAAUGCUAAUAAAGAUGAA